GCGUGCGUGGCUCAGUGGUUAGGGUAUUCGACUCACGGUUGCAAAGUCGUGAGCUCGAUUCUCAGCUGUGCGUU
rnacentral:tRNA from 1 species